rnacentral:rRNA from 1 species
UGAAGUUGGAAUUGCUAGUAAUCGCAGAUCAGAAUGCUGCGGUGAAUACGUUCCCGGGCCUUGUACACACCGCCCGUCACACCAUGGGAGCCGGUAAUACCCGAAGUCAGUAGUCUAACCGCAAGGGGGACGCUGCCGAAGGUAGGAUUGGCGACUGGGGUGAAGUCGUAACAAGGUACC